AUUGAACGCUGGCGGCAGGCUUAACACAUGCAAGUCGAGCGGGGUGAUGGUGCUUGCACUAUCACUUAGCGGCGGACGGGUGAGUAAUGCUUAGGAAUCUGCCUAUUAGUGGGGGACAACAUCUCGAAAGGGAUGCUAAUACCGCAUACGUCCUACGGGAGAAAGCAGGGGAUCACUUGUGACCUUGCGCUAAUAGAUGAGCCUAAGUCGGAUUAGCUAGUUGGUGGGGUAAAGGCCUACCAAGGCGACGAUCUGUAGCGGGUCUGGGAGGAUGAUCCGCCACACUUGGACUGAGACACGGCCCAGACUCCUACGGGAGGCAGCAGUGGGGAAUAUUGGACAAUGGGGGGAACCCUGAUCCAGCCAUGCCGCGUGUGUGAAGAAGGCCUUAUGGUUGUAAAGCACUUUAAGCGAGGAGGAGGCUCUUUUGGUUAAUACCCAAGAUGAGUGGACGUUACUCGCAGAAUAAGCACCGGCUAACUCUGUGCCAGCAGCCGCGGUAAGAC
rnacentral:rRNA from 1 species